AAUGAUGCUUGGAACGCUGCUAUUAAUACUUGGAUUCGCAGCAGUGAUCUCUUCUGGGACAGAACCUCUCCUUAUGGUUCUGUUGCUACAAAUCGCCAUCAAUGCCCAAUUGGUGUGCAUUACGAUCCUCAUGAGUAGUCAAAUUUUUCUUGCACUGGUGUUGGUUACAGUGAAAUUUGCACUGCUUUUUGCCCAAGACUUAAUGUCAUGCUUGCUGAAAAGAUGUGGAUAUUUGCGUCAGAAAGUCUUCCUUCUGCUUUGGCUCAUUCUUGAUAUUGCAUUGAGCUUUGUAAUUCUGGGCAUCACUUUGGAAAACGAUAAAGAACUCCCUGUAUGGAUGUGUUUCUAUGUAUUCCUCUACGUCCUGACUGCCACAGUGGUCUUUCAGCACAACACUGAUGAUUAUGAUGAUGUUGCAUGGGAUGUAGCUCAUAUCCUUGUGUACGUUUUUGGUUCUAUUUUAAGUGUCAUUAAUUCAGUUGCUCUAGCAACAGAAGUGUUUCUGAAAGCAGGUGAGUGCAGUAAAACAUUUUGUAUCUCAAUGAAAACAUCUGUGGUGAUUGUCCCCUUGUGUGUGAGAAGUGUGUGGAUACAGUGGCUUCAGAAAGUAUUCAAAGUAUGCAUUCCCUUUUUGCACACUUUCUUG